rnacentral:rRNA from 1 species
CCUACGGGUGGCAGCAGUGGGGAAUAUUGCACAAUGGGCGCAAGCCUGAUGCAGCCAUGCCGCGUGUGUGAAGAAGGCCUUCGGGUUGUAAAGCACUUUCAGCGGGGAGGAAGGCGGUGAGGUUAAUAACCUCAUCGAUUGACGUUACCCGCAGAAGAAGCACCGGCUAACUCCGUGCCAGCAGCCGCGGUAAUACGGAGGGUGCAAGCGUUAAUCGGAAUUACUGGGCGUAAAGCGCACGCAGGCGGUCUGUCAAGUCGGAUGUGAAAUCCCCGGGCUCAACCUGGGAACUGCAUUCGAAACUGGCAGGCUAGAGUCUUGUAGAGGGGGGUAGAAUUCCAGGUGUAGCGGUGAAAUGCGUAGAGAUCUGGAGGAAUACCGGUGGCGAAGGCGGCCCCCUGGACAAAGACUGACGCUCAGGUGCGAAAGCGUGGGGAGCGAACGGGAUUAGAUACCCUUGUAGUC